AAACACCGCCCGAGGUCAGCGGGAGGCUUGCUGGGAGCUCAGUCCAGCCUCAGGUGCUGAGUCCACCUGCCAGCUAAGGCAGCAGCCGGGCACAGGGAGUCCGGCGGGGGCUGCAGGUUCCUCUCGGGGGCCUGACGGGUGGGGCUGGGUGAGGCCCCCAGCCCCUGUCUGCCCCGCCCGGUGUCCCCUCAGCACCGUCUCCACCCACUUCGCCCAGAGCCUGUGUCCCCACACCGGCCUCCUCCACCAGCCCCCCGGGUGCCCCAUGGAGGCGACCCAGUGCCUCCCGCCUCCCACUUCCCACCCCCAGCGCCCAGCGCCCAGGAAACAGCUGCAUGGGGAGUACACCUGCCGUCUCACAGGCGAGAAAGCGCAGCCACAGAGGAAGCUGACGUGGCCCCAAGGCCACAGUCAGGUCGCUGCCAGCAGUAGGGAGCAGAGCCACCUCAGCACCUGUGUGUGCCCACAAGUCCCUGCUUCGUGGGUCGGCCCAGGCACAGGAGAGUGUGGUCCCCUCCCACCCCCAAAGCACUUCCUGUCCGUCGCUCAGUGCCCAGCCAUCCACCCCUUUGCAGGGCAGAGACCUGGGUCUCAGUCUCACAGCAGAGCACACAGAGGCUCAGAGGUAGAAGACACUGCCCAGGUCACACAGCAAGAAGAACACCAGGAGGAACCAUGCCCAGGACUGUGGACGCCACACCCUCUCCCCUGUGAGUGACAGGGGUUGAGGAGCCCUCUCCAGGGGCCAGCACUUCCCGGGGGAAUCCACAGGUCAGAAGGCUCAGAACAGGGGCACAGCAAGCCCAGUGUCACUGAGAGGUGUCUCGGCUUCGGACAGGAAGUGGUGGCCCAAAGGCCACGGCCGCAUCAGCACCAGAGCGACUGCUGCCGGCUGGACGAUCCCGGCACAGCACACGUUCCCAGGGCUUUGGCCGUUUGAUCUGGGCACUGAAGGCCACACAAAGGACAGUGCACAAAUCCUGUGAUUCCUCCCGCACAACAGGGCCAGUGAAAUACAAGGAUUCUGUGUAUCAGCGGCGUGUGGUAGUAAUCCCAGUACACAGGAGGCUGAGGCAGAAAAGUUUCCGUGAGUUCAAGGCCAGCCUGGCCUACACAGGGAGAUCCUGUCUCAAAAAUAAAAACAAAGCAAAGCAAAGCAGAGUAAAACUAAAAGAUUCUUUUUCUGUUAUGUG
rnacentral:lncRNA from 1 species